rnacentral:rRNA from 1 species
GAGUUUGAUCUUGGCUCAGAUUGAACGCUGGCGGCAUGCCUUACACAUGCAAGUCGAACGGCAGCACGGGAGCUUGCUCCUGGUGGGCGAGUGGCGAACGGGUGAGUAAUGCAUCGGAACGUAUCCUGGAGUGGGGGAUAACGUAGCGAAAGUUACGCUAAUACCGCAUAUUCUGUGAGCAGGAAAGCGGGGGACCUUCGGGCCUCGCGCUCUUGGAGCGGCCGAUGUCGGAUUAGCUAGUUGGUGAGGUAAAGGCUCACCAAGGCGACGAUCCGUAGCAGGUCUGAGAGGAUGAUCUGCCGACACUGGAACUGAGGACACGGUCCAGACU